GGGUUUAAACCCCGAGGCGUCUCCAGGAGAAGAGGGGGAGGAGGAGAUGGGAGAGAGUGACAGUGACAAAGUUAAAAAAAUUGUUGGGAGUCCGAGUAAGGAUAGCAGGACAGCGCCCAUGCUGAAAUAGGAUAGGCCUACCUUUUUAUUCUCACAUCGAAACAUCGGACUCUCGUGCUCCGGUCGGAAUAGCGGCGAUUGAAACAUCGGGUCCUAUGGACAUGUACGUAACAACAGCAAUUUGACGUGUCCUAGGAUCUGUGGAAGCCUCCCCACCGUGCUACGUCGUCCCAGCAUGCAGUAGGGGCAGUACACCUUAACUCCACAGUUCACGGCAUCGCCAUCUAAAGAACCAGGAUGUUUACAGGUUCUACCAAGAACCCAACCCCUAAAAUACCUCAGCCUGAGCGGCUGGACGAGGUGUACUCUGCACUGAGGAGAGGCCUACAGUCAUUCCUGCAGGUCCACCAGCUGGAGCUGGACAGCCUGGGGCAGCAGAUCAGAGAGAGCAAGAGAAAUGGCCGUCUGGGGUCUCUGUAUGAGUUGGAUAAGCAAGUGAAGGCCAUAGAGAGAUUUAUGCGUCGCUUAGAGUUCCACCUCAGCAAGGUAGAGGAGCUGUACGAUGCUUACUGUAUGCAGCGUCGGCUGCGGGAUGGGGCCAGCAAGAUGGUGGCAGCCUUUAACUCUGCCACAGGGAGCAAGGAGGCACGGGAGAGCCUGAAUGAGGCCAACAGGGGCUACAGGGAGUACACUGAGCACAUGUGUUCCCUGGAGAGUGAACUGGAGAACCAGAUGGGAGAGUUUCAUAUCAAGAUGAAAGGUCUGGUUGGCUAUGCACGGUUGUGUGCAGGAGACCAAUAUGAGGUCCUGAUGCGUUACGGCCGUCAGCGCUGGCGGAUGAAAGGUCGUGUGGAGGUCAGCAGUAAACAAGUGUGGGACAGUGAGGACAAUGUCUUCCUGCCUCUCAUCACAGAGCUCCUGUCAAUCAAGGUGACUGAGCUGAAGAGCUUGGCCAAUCACGUGGUGGUUGGCAGUGUGUCUUGUGAGACACUUGACCUGUUCUGUCCGCUGCCUCAGACGGUUGCCGUGGAUAUCAACGACUUGGGGACAGUAAAACUGAACCUAGAGGUCAACUGGAGUCCAUUUGAUAAAGAUGACCAGACCUCAUCCUCCAGUACGGUUUCCAAGCGCUUUUUGUCCAAUCAGAGCCCUCCAGACACACCUUCCAUGCGCGAGCAGGUGUUUUAUUCUCUAUUGAGGAGACCAGGGGAGCUGGAGAAUGGUACAGUCUGGUCAAACUCCUCUGAAUCAUCAGACGACUCUUCCAGCCCAGCCAUGGGACACACACACAGGAUGAUGGCCACUCACAGCCUGCAGACCACACCCACUAUCCAGAUCUCCUUCAACCCCCGCCAAUCAAGCGUCUCUACCCCAUCCCUCUCUUCCAAUCAUGAGGAAGGGGAGCCAGGCACCACCAAGGGAUUUGGCGAAACAGACUCUGUGAUGUGUACACUGCUGAAUGGCCAUUUGAAGUGUUCUCGAUCUCUCAGCCAUAUCAGUGAGAGAGCCAUAGACUGUGCUUCGACUAACAGGUUGUCUGACCAAUCAGUUGAAUCCUCUGAAACGCCAGAAUCCCUACCCCGCUUAGACCUUGAAGGCUCCUAUGUGGCUUCUCACUGCUCUAACCAGGACAUGCAUGAAGCCUUGGACUUGCCUGAAUCUGGGGGCCCAGAGUCAUGCGUUUCAACCCCAGUGGAUCAGGGUGAUGCUCCUCCGGCCUCAACACUGCAGGUUGAGAAGCCUAGGGCUGGAGUAGAGCCUCUUCCCACAGACCGUGUACUGGGAGAGGGACUGAGGGAGGAAAAGUCCUCCACGGAACACAAUCACAGACUCCAAUCUACCCAGCCACAAGAGCUAACGCUACCAGAAGAGACAGUGACUGGUCGAUCUCACAGUAGGUCCUCCAGCUUCACUCAGGAAGUUGAGACUGCCCUGGAGAGCUUUGAUUUUCUCAACUGCUCUGACCUUGAUGAUGAUGAAGAAGAGGAGAAAGAACAAGAAGAAGAUGAACAGGAGAGGGAUGAGAAGGAAGACAAGACAAGGGACUCUGCUGAUAGGUCAGCAUUCUCUUCUCUUAUGUAUCAGGCUCUAACUGAACUCAUCCUGCCAUCUAGUGUUUGGAAAGCGGAAUGUAGUGAUGAGUGUGAGGACGAUGUUAUAGAAAUCAUUGUCGAGGCCCCUGAAGGCUUCCGGAAUGAGGACUGUUCUCCUGUAGAUGCAGACUGCAGCUCUGAGUUUGCAUGUAAAAUUUACGUAGGAGGAAAGUAGCGAGCAGCUGCAGGCCUCCAGUGAGACAAGGGAUGAGCAGGAGGAAGAAAAGGAGAAAGUGGAAGACAAGAAGGAGGAGGAGCAGAUUACAGAGAAGGACAUCCCUGCCAGGCAGGAGCAUGGUGAUGAGGCAUCCUGUGAUGAGGAACCCCGCUCCAUCCCCAGCAUAAUGGCCACCACUGUCCUUUAACAUAAUGGAGAUGCCACUUCCUCAGACCAUUAUCGGAUGCCAUCCUAAUCCCACCACUUUCCUAAGAGAUCCUUACCAUUUCACCACUAACAGAUCAAAGAGCUCCGCUCCCCUUCUAGAUCAGACAAGCGAUUUCUGCCAUGUGGGUGGAGAUUGCGCAAAUGAACAGAAAUGUAUUUGCUUCCCUCUCUCCACUCGUGAUUGAAAACAUUUAUGACUAUUGUUGUCCACUCAUCCAAAGGCCACACGUAUGCACACAGUCACCUUACAGUGAAGGUAGACAUCUUUAGUCUAAUGGAGCCUCUUCAAUCAGAAAGUGCCUCAAGUUACAGAAAGGGGGAUUGUCAGUUAACAAAUACAUGAAGAAAAUGUACUUUUAUUACGAACCAGAGAAGAAUAUGAGUAUAGAGUUUUGAUACAUUGUUUAUUUUUAGGAUGACUUACAGAUUGUGCACAAUAAAAUAUACAAUUAUUUACUGUUUCAUAUAAAUAAAUAAUGUUGAGCAAA